ACGCUGGCGGUGUGCUUUAUGCAUGCAAGUCGAACGGGCUUUAGCAAUAAAGUCAGUGGCAGACGGGUGAGUAACACGUAAGUGACCUGCCCUAAAGUGGGGAACAACUCCUAGAAAUGGGAGCUAAUACCGCAUGUGAUCCUUCUUUUUAAUUUGGAGGAUUAAAGCCGUAAGGCGCUUUUGGAGGGACUUGCGUCCGAUUAGAUUGUUGGUGGGGUAACGGCCUACCAAGUCUGCGAUCGGUAGCUGGUUUGAGAGGACGACCAGCCACACGGGGACUGAGACACGGCCCCGACUCCUACGGGAGGCAGCAGCAAGGAAUAUUGGGCAAUGGGCGAAAGCCUGACCCAGCGACACCGCGUGGGGGAAGAAGACCUUCGGGUUGUAAACCCCUUUUAUCGGGGAAGAAUAAUGACGGUACCCGAUGAAUAAGCCCCGGCUAACUACGUGCCAGCAGCCGCGGUAAUACGUAGGGGGCGAGCGUUAUCCGGAUUUACUGGGCGUAAAGCGGGUGUAGGCGGCCUGUCAAGUCAGAUGUGAAAUCUCCCGGCUUAACUGGGAGGGUGCAUUUGAAACUGAUGGGCUAGAGUGCAGCAGAGGAAGAUGGAAUUCCCGGUGUAGUGGUGAAAUGCGUAGAUAUCGGGAAGAACACUAGUGGCGGGCGGUCUUCUGGGCUGUAACUGACGCUGAGACCCGAAGGCGUGGGUAGCAAACAGGAUUAGAUACCCUGGUAGUCCACGCAGUAAACGAUGGAUACUAGGUAUGGGGAGUAUCGACCCUCUCCGUGCCGAAGCUAACGCUUUAAGUAUCCCGCCUGGGGACUACGGUCGCAAGACUAAAACUCAAAGGAAUUGACGGGGGCCCGCACAAGCAGCGGAGCGUGUGGUUUAAUUCGAUGCAACACGAAGAACCUUACCAGGGCUUGACAUGUUGGAAGUAGUGAAACGAAAGUAGAACGAACUGUCAAAUCAGUAACCAUCACAGGUGCUGCAUGGCUGUCGUCAGCUCGUGCCGUGAGGUGUCGGGUUAAGUCCCAUAACGAGCGCAACCCCUGUUGCCAGUUAAUUUCUCUGGCGAGACUGCCCCGCAAAACGGGGAGGAAGGCGGGGAUGAUGUCAAGUCAGUAUGGCCCUUAUG
rnacentral:rRNA from 1 species